AAUUCUCCUUUCUUAUUACAUACAGGCAAUACUUAUGCAAGUACAGCUUUUUAUAAUGACUUUGACUUCUACGUAAGUAGUGGUCUUAUUGUAAAAAACUAAGUUUUUUACAGUUUUUUUAUUUUUAUUUUUUAAUGCACUUGAUGGAUACCUAUAAUCUAAAGAAGUAGGCGUAAAUUAUGCGAAAAUUCAUUGUUAGAAUAUUAAAUUCUUUAACCAAUGAGUUCCUUUUGAAAAAAUUCAAUGUUAAAACAGCGUUAGGGAAUUGAAACAUCUUAGUACCUAGUUUAAAGAAAAUCAACCGAGAUUUCGUUAGUAAUGGUGAGUGAACGCGAAAAAAUUAUUAAAACUAUAUAAAUAAACUAAAAUUAUAUUGGAAUUUUAUACUAAAAAAGGUGAUAGUCCUGUAGGUUUAUUUAUUUAAUAAGGGGGUUAAGUAGAAUGCUUGGUUAGAGUAUUUGAAGACAGGGAGACCACUCUCUAAUCCUUAUAAUAAUCUUUAGAAAUUGAUAGUGAAUAAGUACCGUGAGGGAAAGGUGAAAUAGAAUCUAUAAAGAAUGUGAAAGAUUUUGAAAUUGAGUGCAUACAGAACAUUUAGAGCUUUAUAAACAAAUUGUUUAUGAAAGUGAUAAUUUACCUUUUGCAUAAUGGGUCAGCAAGUUAAUUUAAGUAGCAAACUUAAUUUGUAAAUAAAAGUAGGUGUAGAGAAAUCGAGUAUUAAUAGUACGUUUUAAGUUACUUAAAUUAGACCCGAAACCAAAUGAUCUAACCAUGAGUAAGUUGUUUUAUUAUCUUUAAUAAUUAGACUGAACCCAAGUAUGUUGCAAAAUGCUGGGAUAACUUGUGGUUAGGGGUGAAAGGCUAAUCAAAUUUGGAAAUAUCUGGUUUUCUGCGAAAUCUAUUGAGGUAGAGCGUUAUAAGUUUUUAAUAUAGGGGUAGAGCACUAUUCGAUUGAUGGUGAGUUGCGUUAGCUUAUACUGAAAUUGAAAAAACUUCGAAUACUAUAUUAAGUAUUAUAGCAGUCAGAUCAGUGGCGUUAAGGUUAUUGAUCAAGAGGGAAACAGCCCAGAUUACUCGUUAAGGUCUUUAAAUUAUUUUUAAGUAUGGAAGAUAGUUAGUAAAUAGUGAUAAUCAAAAGGUAGGCUUGGAAUCAGCCAUUCUUUUAAGAAAUCGUAAUAGAUCAUUGCUUUAGUUUUAUUUAUUAGCGUUAAAGAUGUCAUGGAGUUUAAAAUAAUAUACCGAAACGGUAAGUAUUAAGCUUAAAAGUUUAAUACGGUAGCAGAAUAUUUUGUAUAUUGUUGAAGUAGUUUUGAAAGAAAUUAUGGAGAUAACAAGAGAAAUAAUGCUGACAUAAGUAACAAAAAACAUUGUGUAAAUCAAUGUCGUCGUAAGUCCAAGGUUUUCGUAAUAGUUUAAUACGAGUUAUUCGGUUUCUAAGAAAAAUAGGGAAAUGUAUUUUUUGAUGAAAAAAGUUUGAUGAUUAACUUAAUUUUUUAAUAAGGACAGUUUUUAAUUGGUACUAAUAUAAUUAUUGAUUUUUAUAUUUGGAUUGAUUUUAGGCUCGGGAAAAAUUAUUAAAGUUUUUUAAAACCGUACUAGAAACUAACACAAGUGGACGGGUAGAGUAUAUUAAGACGGAGUGAGUGAAUAACACUGAAGGAACUCGGCAAAUUGACUUUGUAACUUCGGGAGAAAAAGUUCUUUUCAUAGAUAAUAUAAUGAAAAGAGGAAGAAAAUAGGGAGGAACAACUGUUUAGUAAAAACACAAGAUUCUGCAAAAUUGUAAAAUGAUGUAUAGGGUCUGACACCUGCCCAGUGUUGAAAAAUAAAAGAAAAUGUUUUUAAGCAUUGAAUUGAAAUAUCAAUAAACGGCGGCCGUAUUCCUGACGGUCCUAAGGUAGCGAAAUUCCUUGUCGGAUAAGUACCGACCUGCAUGAGUGGUGUAAUGAUUCUUCCACUGUCUCCAGUGUUAACUCAGUGAAAUUGAAUUUUCUGUGAAAAUGCAGAAUAUCCACAGUUAGACGGAAAGACCCUGUGCACCUUUACUAUAUUUAUAUAUUGUUUGUAGAAAAUAUUUUGUGUAGGAUAAGUGGGAGCAUGUAUAAAGUGCGUUAGUGAAAUACCACUCUUAAUAUUUUUUCGAACUAAUUCUUAUUAGAAGAACGUGUAUAAAGGGUAGUUUGAUUGGGGAGAUAGCCUCCUAAAGAGUAACGGGGGUGUAUAAAGGUAUUACUCUAAAUAAUUUAAUAUUAUUUUAAGAAUGUAACGGUAUAAGUAUGCCUGACUGUAAGACUUACAAGUCGAGCAGAGACGAAAGUCGGUCGUAGUGUCCCGAUAAUUUUAUGUGGAAAAGUUAUCGAUCAACGGAUAAAAGGUACGCCAGGGAUAACAGGCUAAUAAUCCUUAAGAGACCAUAUCGACGGGAUUGUUUGGCACCUCGAUGUCGACUUAUCAUAUCCUGGAAUUGAAGAAGAUUCCAAGGGUUCGGCUGUUCGCCGAUUAAAAUGGUACAUGAGUUGGGUUUAGAACGUCGUGAGACAGUUUGGUCCCUAUCUACUGUGGGUGUAAGAAAAUUGAGAGGAGCUAACUUUAGUACGAGAGGACCAAGUAGGGUUGACCGCUAGUGUUAUAGUUGUUUUAUCAAAAGCAUUGCUAUGAAGCCACGUCAAUAGUUUAUAAUUUCUGAAAGCAUCUAAGAAAGAAGAAACCCUCAAAACAAAUUUUCUAAAAUCUGUAAUAGAACAUUACUUUGAUAGGUUAAUAAUGUAAGCAUUGUGAGAUGUUGAGUUUAUUAAUACUAAUAUGAUUAAACUAAUUUU
rnacentral:rRNA from 1 species